rnacentral:rRNA from 1 species
AUUGAACGCUGGCGGCAGGCCUAACACAUGCAAGUCGAGCGGAUGAAGGGAGCUUGCUCCUGUCUUCAGCGGCCGACGGGCGAGUAAUGCCUAGGAAUCUGCCUGGUCUUGGGGGAUAACGUCCGGAAACGGGCGCUAAUACAGCAUACGUCCUGAGGGAGAAAGUGGGGGAUCUUCGGUCCUCACGCUAUCUGAUGAGCCUAGGUCGGAUUAGCUAGUUGGUUGGGUAAAGGCCUACCAAGGCGACGAUCCGUAACUGGUCUGAGAGGAUGAUCAGUCACACUGGAACUGAGACACGGUCCAGACUCCUACGGGAGGCAGCAGUGGGGAAUAUUGGACAAUGGGCGAAAGCCUGAUCCAGCCAUGCCGCGUGUGUGAAGAAGGCCUUCGGAUUGUAAAGCUCUUUAAGUUGGGAGGAAGGACAGUAAGUUAAUACCUUGCUGUUUUGACGUUACCAAAAGAAUAAGCACCGGCUAACUUCGUG